UAUUCUAGAUCUCCCCUCUCAGAUUGCACAGGAGUUCGAGGUCCUUCAUAAAGAGGCAUCAGACAAAAUGUUUGUGACCUGGAGGAGGUUCAGCGAGAAGCUUCUUCAUGUGGCCCAGUGGGGAGGAGGGGAAGCUCCACGUGCAGACACAGUCUUUGUCACAAGGCUCCAAAGACUACAUUGCCCUGAUGGUUCUGCCAAGCCUGAUGCCACCUGCAGUCUUCAGGAUGGGCCUGAAAGACCGUGAGGACUACAGUGUCUGACGCCAUGAAGGCCUUCAUCGAUCUUAAGCCUGUCGGAACAAACAUGGUGGAGUACCUUCAGGCAGCAGACCAGA